GGAGUAAAGCUUGCUGUGAGAAGUCAGCAGAGGCCAUAGUACCCGGAAGGUUUUUUUUCGGGGAAGGGC
rfam:Paenibacillus macerans strain 8244 genomic scaffold scaffold1, whole genome shotgun sequence.